rnacentral:misc_RNA from 1 species
GUAUUUCAGGGGAAAAGAUUUUGUCGCUUUUGUGAGAAAUCAUUCAGAACUUAAAGACAUACUAGAGUCAGAUAAAGGUUUGGAGCCUGAAGAUAUUGCCAACAUUCUGCUUCAAAAGAAUCUUUUAGUCCGCUGUGAUCGUGUGGUGAAAAUUGUUCGACCUGGGAAGAAAAAACUAUCUUCUUGGCCAGCACAUUUAGAGAUAUACCAUGAUCAAGUAUUUUCUGAAAAUGAUGCCUUUUUUGCAUGGGCAUUUGUGAAAAGAAGACCCCUGUGGCAAACACUUCUCUCAUUUUUCUGGCCGGUGUUAACACUAGCAAUUUGCUUGUUUCCUGUUUAUCCCCAUUGGGCCAAAUUGCUUGUACUAUACACGUGUGCUGGUCUCCUCCUUCUCAUACUUAGUCUGCUAUUCAUAAGAGCUUUGAUCUUUGGUGCUAUUUGGGUACUUUUUGGGAAGCGUGUAUGGUUUUUCCCCAACAUUCUGGCCGAGGAAGCAACACUGCAAGAUUUGUUCCAAGUUUGGCCUCAGAAGGAUGAAGGCGAGCGACCUAAGUGGACAGCAAGGCUUUUCUACGCAAUAGUAGCCGUGGUUGUUAUUUUGCUCUUGAUGAGGCUGCACGAACCAGGUUUGCUUG